rnacentral:rRNA from 1 species
UAGGGAAUCUUCCGCAAUGGACGCAAGUCUGACGGAGCAACGCCGCGUGAGUGAAGAAGGAUUUCGGUUCGUAAAACUCUGUUGUUAGAGAAGAACAGCGCAUAGAGUAACUGUUAUGCGUGUGACGGUAUCUAACCAGAAAGCCACGGCUAACUACGUGCCAGCAGCCGCGGUAAUACGUAGGUGGCAAGCGUUGUCCGGAUUUAUUGGGCGUAAAGCGAGCGCAGGCGGUUUAAUAAGUCGAAUGUUAAAGAUCGGGGCUCAACCCCGUAAAGCAUUGGAAACUGAUAAACUUGAGUAGUGGAGAGGAAAGUGGAAUUCCUAGUGUAGUGGUGAAAUACGUAGAUAUUAGGAGGAAUACCAGUAGCGAAGGCGACUUUCUGGACACAAACUGACGCUGAGGUACGAAAGCGUGGGGAGCAAACAGG